AGAGAAUCUAAUAGGAAAAGACUUCUAAAUUUAAGAGCUAUGCUUUCAAAGGUUCUGUGCCACUAAAUGAAGCACUUGCAUGAGUGAUCACAGCUAUAAAUAGUGUAAGCACUCACAUCUCUCUUUCAGAAGAGGUGCAGCUGAACCUCAGAUGUGUUGGAUGUGUCUGGAGAGGUCAAGCAGUGCUGAUAACUAAUCAUGUCAUUCCCUGCCAUGCUGCCCUGAGGAAUGUAAGGAAGUAUUCCCAGGAAUAAUUUCAUGUAUUGGACUGAAUGAAAACAAAGUCAAAAUGUCAGAAUUUCCAAUUUCUGACCAGCUCUAAAGAACUAUGGUGUUGCCAAGGAGGAAGAAAUAGUUCCAAUGAGAUGUUUGUCUGCUCAGAAGGGAGAUAAAAUAGACUGUUUAUACCCAAAAUGGCUGCCCUGUUA